rnacentral:rRNA from 1 species
GUCUACGGCCAUGCAACCCUGAAUGUGCCUGAUCCCGUCCGAUCUCGGAAGCUAAGCAGGGUCGGGCCUGGUUAGUACUGGGAUGGGAGACCACCGAGGAAGACCAGGUGCCGUAGGCA